rnacentral:misc_RNA from 1 species
UGGAAAAAUUCAUGCAAUGUGUGGAGACCUUUUAUGAUGGUAAUGAUGAAAAGGAAUAUAGGGCUGUUAAUGAGGACUUGGAUAAGUUCCAAAAGAGACAAGGAUCCUUCUCAAAGAAGAUGGCAAGGAGCUGUGAACGCUUUGAGUUCCAACCGGCGUCUUGGUGGAGGCUUUAUGGAGGUGGAGCACCAGAUUUGCAAUACAUGGCUAUUAGAAUCCUCUCACUGACAUCUAGCUCUUCUGGAUGUGAAAGGAAUUGGAGCACCUUUGAACAGCAUCAUACAAAGAGAAGGAAUAGGCUUACAACAGAGCGUCUAAACUCUCUAGUAUUCAUCCAAUUCAAUAAUAAAUUGCUGUCCAAGAAGGAGAAGAUUGCCAGAAAGAGUAAUUAUGAAGUGCUCCUAAGUAGUGAUGCUUCUGAAGCUCAAGGGUUUUUCUUUGAGGGAGGAGAUGAUCAUGCAUUGGCUGUCUUUAGGGAUGAGGAAGAUGAAGGAGUAAUGUCGGGGACAGGGAUACCAUGGAGUGUCCUUGGAGAAGCAAUGGGAACUAAUGAACAACUUCAACCUCGCAGGAGUGCAAGAGUGGCUAGAGAGUUGUAUGAUGAAGAAGAGUGGGAAUCUGAAACUGAAGAUCCUAAUCAUCUAGAAGAUGACAUUGCCUAUGAGGAUGAUGAGGAGUGAGGAGAUUGCAUGAUGGCAGCAUGCUGCCAAGUUAUCUAAAUAUUAAUAUCUAGUUAUUUACUUAUCCAAAUGUGUGUGGACUGUGGACCAUAAAACCAUUAAUGUGUGCUGUACUGUUAUUUAAUUUGUGGACCAUUAAGGCAUGUGAUGAACUGUGAGUGUUUUCUAUAUAUUUUCUUGUGAUCCUUU